AUACGGAGGGUGCAAGCGUUACUCGGAAUCACUGGGCGUAAAGCGCGCGCAGGCGGCUUGAUAAGUUGGAUGUGAAAGCCUACGGCUCAACCGUAGAACUGCAUCCAAAACUGUCAAGCUAGAGUCUGGGAGGGGAAGAUGGAAUUAGUUGUGUAGGGGUAAAAUCCGUAGAGAUAACUAGGAAUACCAAAAGCGAAGGCGAUCUUCUAGAACAGUACUGACGCUGAGGCGCGAAAGCGUGGGGAGCAAACAGGAUUAGAAACCCUAGUAGUCC
rnacentral:rRNA from 1 species